rnacentral:misc_RNA from 1 species
GAACGCACCUUGCGCCCUUUGGCUAUUCUGAAGGGCAUGCCUGUUUGAGUAUCAUGAACACCUCACCUCCUCGGGUUUCCGAUUAGGUGGAUUUGGGUGUUGCCUUUCGAGGCUCGCCUUAAAAGCAUCAGUGGCUUGAAGACGUGAUACGUUUCGUCGUGAAGGCUGCUUCCAACCUCCCGCAAGGGAUACUCCUAGAGUAAUUUAUGUCUACGACCUCAAAUCAGGUAGGGCUACCCGCUGAACUUAAG